rnacentral:rRNA from 1 species
UACGUAGGGUGCAAGCGUUAAUCGGAAUUACUGGGCGUAAAGCGUGCGCAGGCGGCUUUGCAAGACAGAUGUGAAAUCCCCGGGCUUAACCUGGGAACUGCAUUUGUGACUGCAUGGCUGGAGUGCGGCAGAGGGGGAUGGAAUUCCGCGUGUAGCAGUGAAAUGCGUAGAUAUGGGCGGAAGACACCGAUGGCGAAGGCAAUCCCCUGGGCCUGCACUGACGCUCAUGCACGACAGCGUGGGGAGCAAACAGG